rnacentral:rRNA from 1 species
CCGUGAGGGAAAGGUGAAAAGUAGCCCGGAGAGGGCGAUGAAAUAGUAUUUGAAACCAUGUGCUUACAAAGAGCAGGAGUCCUAAGUCACUUUUGUGACGGGAUGACUGUAUUCCUAUUGAAGAAUGAGCCUGCGAGUUACUCAACGUGGCAAGGUUAAGCUCCUUUGGAGCGGAGCCAUAGGGAAACCGAGUCUGAAUAGGGCGUUAAGUCUCGUUGAGUAGACCCGAAACUGAGUGAGCAAUCCAUGACCAGGGUGAGUCUUGGUGAUAAACCAAGAGGAGGCCCGAACCCACGCGCCGUGCAACACGCGGGGAUGAGUUGUGGAUAGCGGAGAAAUUCCAAUCGAACUCAGUAAUAGCUGGUUCUCCUCGAAAUAGCUUUAGGGCUAGCUGUAUGUGUUCCUUCUGGGGGUAGAGCACUGGAUGGAAAGUGGGUCCUUCGGGAUACCCUUUCCAAUCAAACUCCGAAUACCAGUAGUUAAGAACAUGCAAGUUAGACUAUGGGGGCUAAGCUUCAUAGUCGAAAGGGAAACAGCCCAGAUCGUCAAUUAAGGUCCCUAAAUCACUGCUAAGUGUUAAAGGUGGUGUUAAUUCUUAUACAACCAGGAAGUUGGCUUAGAAGCAGCCAUCUUUUAAAGAUAGCGUAACAGCUCACUGGUCAAGAGUUUUCGCGCCGAAAAUGUACCGGGGCUAAGCAGUGUACCGAAAUUACGAAUUCAUGAUCUCUUCGGAGCAUCAUGAGUGGUAGAGGAGCAUUCCUAUCUGCGUCGAAGCAGGAUCCGCGAGGGCCUGUGGAGCGAUGGGAAGAGAGAAUGCAGGCACAAGUAGCAAAAAUGCCAGUGAAAGUCUGGCACGCCGAAAACCCAAGGUUUCCAGGGCAACGUGAAUCGUCCCUGGGUUAGUCGAUCCUAAGGCGAGGCCGAAAGGCGUAGUCGAUGGAAGAGCAGGUUAAUAUUCCUGCACUUGGUAUAGUUUGUUGUAUUGCCGCACCUCAAAGGUAUGAGCGUUUUUUGGCUAUAGACGUUCCGCAAGGUAAAGACGAGCUCUCCGGAGUAAGUCAAUUUGUGUUAGAGAGGUGCCUAGAAAAACAGUACAACGCUAGGCUAUAUCAAACCGUACCGCAAACCGACACAGGUGGGUAGGUCGAGAAGACCAAGGUGUACGAGAGAAACAUGGUUAAGGAACUCGGCAAAACAGCGGCCGUAACUUCGGGAUAAGGCCUGCCCUGAGCAAUCAGGGCCGCAGCGAAAGACUACACGCGACUGUUUACCAAAAACACAGCUCUCUGCUAAAUCGUAAGAUGAUGUAUAGGGGGCGAUGCCUGGCCAGUGUCAGAACGUUAAGGGGAUGGGUUAUCCUUCGGGAGAAGCUUUGAACUGAAGCGCUGAUGAACGCCGGCGAUAACUAUAAUCGUCCUAAGGUAGCGAAAUUCCUUGUCGGGUGAGUUCCGACCCGCAUGAAUGGCACAACGAUGUGUAGACUGUCUUGACCAUGUACUCGGCGAAAAUGCAAUUGUCGUGAAGAUGCGACAUUGCCGCAGCAAGACGAAAAGACCCCGUGAAGCUUUACUACAAUUUGAUAUUGGUACAUUGCUUCAUAUGUUCAGCAUAGGUGGGAGCCUUCGGGCACCAGUGAGAUACCACCCUUAUGCUGUAGUGUACCUAAUCUGUAACCAUGAAUCUGGUUGCGGAGACAGUAUCUGAUGGGUAGUUUAACUGGGGCGGUUGCCUCCCAAAAAGUAACGGAGGCGUUUACAAAGGUUGGCUUGGUCCGGAUGGAAAUCGGAC